UACCACAAGGUACCUCCCCGGGUCCAGCACCUACCUUGGGUACUUCCGAGCCCAGUGUGGGUGGUGUUCCUAGGCGAAACAUCUCUCUUGACAAUUCUCAAGUAACAUUACAAUCACAACAACACAUGAGACAAGGUACCCUUGAUUCCCAUAUCACCACCCAGGUUCCUAAUUUUCACCUAACCAUGAUGACCCCGCCCUUAACCUAACCCCUAAUUCCAACCUAAAUGUCCUGAAUCUUACCCCCUAUUUGUUCUCCUCAGAGGAGCUUGAGGUCCUUCAGCUUGGCCUAAGUUUUUGCCCAUCCAUGAAAAGCGAUAAAUACGAAAUAAUUAAAGAUAUUUAUCUUUUUUGUCGCAACUUAACAUACAAAUUUUUAUUUGAUGAAAAUCGCUUACGUAAUAUCCAAGAAAAACAUAUGACUGAACAAGUGAAAAAUUUCACUAUGGACGAUUUUAGAGCCCUUAGGGACCUCAUGCUCCUCCUUGACGAAAACACAUCCCCUCCCCCCGAUCCUCUCCCUUGUUCGGAAUCACUGUCAUCUACUAUAUCUUCUAAUCCUUCUACCAAAAAAUUCAAAUUAAAAUCCCAACGCUUUCCAGACUUAACAAGCAAUUCAAAUAUAUGGGCUUUCCUUCUAAGUACUAUAAAUGAUUGUAAACAAAUGGACACCAAUGUAUUGACUAAUAAUCUCUCUAAAAAACAACGACAAGCUAUCAUGAACCUUCAAAACCAUCCGGAUCUUGAGAUAAAAGCGUCCGACAAGGGAGGUAAUGUGGUCCUUAUGACCAAGGCCAAUUAUGAGAAAAUGGUAUUCCACAUCUUAAACAACAAAGAGUGGUAUAGACGUAUCAACGAUACACAAAUAGCUCUAUUUAAAAAUGAAUUCCUAUCCAUUAUUGGCCUUGCUCAUCAAAGAGGUCUCAUAGACCAAGACUUGUACAACUACCUUAAUAUUCGCAACCCAAGAACUGCAACUUUCUAUGCAUUACCCAAAAUCCACAAACACCCUCUUACUCCCCCAGGUAGACCGAUAGUGUCCGGCAUAGGUUCCUUGACUGAAAAUGCCAGUCGGUUUGUAGACUCCAUCCUCAUGCCCCAUGUACUUACUUUGCCCUCGUAUACCCGAGAUACCCUGGACCUUCUUAAACAAAUUGAGGAUAUGGUCGUGCCUCGGGAUGCCCUCCUCGUGACCUUGGACGUGGAGGCAUUGUACUCCAGUAUCCCUCACGAGUUGGGCAUCUCGACAGCACGUACCUUCCUCCGUGAACAGGACCAUCACCAUUGGAACUAUAUUGAUUUUGUAAUAGACCUUUUACGAUUUAUUCUUACACGUAAUCAUUUCGUUUUCAAAGAGUCCCACUUCCUCCAGGUACAGGACGUAGCCAUGGGCACUUGCUGUGCCCCUGGCUACGCCAAUCUGUACCUGGGGGGGUGGGAACGUGAUAUUUUUUCGGAUGAGGACUUGUCGAUGUACACUGGCCAUGUGAUCAACUGGCUUAGGUACAUCGACGACAUCUUCAUCAUCUGGUCAGGUACUAGUCCCCAACUAUAUCAAUUUAUCGAUAUUCUUAAUGUUAAUGAACGCAACUUAAAAUUCACGUUCACUGCAUCUUCAGACCAGGUCACCUUUCUUGACCUCACCAUCUUAAAGGAUGGCGAUGGCAGAAUUACCUCCUCUCUCUUUAGAAAGGAGACUGCAGGUAACACCCUACUACACGCCACUAGUGCACAUCCAACUAACCUCCUUAAAAGCAUACCUUAUGCACAAUACCUUCGUUUACGAAGGAAUUGCACUAUGACAAAAGAUUUCCUGUUACAGGCUAACCUACUCAGGCAACGGUUGUUGUUGAGAGGUUACAGUAAAUCCUUACUACGGAAAGCAUUCAAUAAGGCUGCACGACAAUCUCGUAUCAACUUAUUAUUUAAACAAAAAGUCAAUACAGAGUCGCAACCAGUAAGAUUCAUAACGCGGUACUCAAGCCAUCACAUCGAGGUGCGUAAUAUUCUAAAUAAACAUUGGUCACUUUUGACUAACGAUCCCAUCCUCAGUAAUUACAUUGGCCAAAGACCAGAUAUUACUUUCAAAAGAUCUCGCUCACUCAGAGAUAAAUUGACUUCUAGUCACUACAAAACAAAUUCAAAUCAACAACGACCUCCAAAUGGUAUGAUGAGAUGUGGCAGGUGCAAUUUUUGUCCUUGGGUUAGAGAGGGUACUACUUUUUCUUUACCCAAUGGUGAAAUUUUUACCCCCAAUUUUUAUGCGGACUGUAAUACUCAGGGAAUCAUUUACCUUAUGACGUGUAGCUGCCAUGCAUUUUAUGUGGGCAAAACCAUCAGAAACUUCAAGCAUAGAAUUAGGGAUCAUGUUUAUUACUCCUCCCAAGGAAAAAUGGUAACAUCAGUCAGCCGUCACCUUGACCUAUAUCAUAAAUUUAAUACCUCAGUUGCCUCGUUUAUAGUACUUGCUAUUGUCCCCAAAGAUUGCCGUGGAGGCAACUGGGACAAGCAGGUACUCCAAAAAGAAGCUUACUGGAUCGAGCGUUUGGAUGCCUUACGGCCCCCAGGCAUUAAUGAGGCACAGUCCUAUAAAUCCUUCUUGUAGUAACAUUAAGCUAAUUGAUUAUACUUUUAUUUUUGAAAUUUUCUAUUCAUUUUUUUCUAUUAGCACCUAAGUACUACUCUGGACCUUUCUGAUUGCCUUGUCACCAUGGCCUUGUCAUUUGCAGAACUAGAUGUCAGAGUAGCCAAUCAUAUCGCUCAUUUAAUUUAAUUAUGUCCUUAGAUCACCGGUUUACUGGGAUUUUUUCCAGUUGUCCUUCUCUUUGUGUUCAUUUACUGUACCCCUGUUUUCUAUACGAGGUCCUCUAUGCUGUAUAAUUAAAUAACAUGUGUACAUUUGGAAGAUCUAUCCACUUCCAUACCCUAUAAAUAAAUACUAAUGUUUUUUGCAUUUAAUAUGGUUGUGCUCCUUUUCUGCAAUUGUGGUGAAAUUUGGAUGGUAAUAUCCUCCCCCCUGUGAUCUCUUCCAGACGUGAUGCCCCUUUCUAUGUCCCUCCUAUUUAUUCCAUGCGAUGUGGCCGCUUGAGAUACAGCUUUUCCAUCCUUGUUGUAUCUCAAUAUGUCCACUAGAUGGCGUCCAAUCGCCAUCGAAUGGUGCAUAAACUUCAGUACUGCGCGCGCACCGCAUCUGGUGCGCGCGCACCUGCAGUUACUUUGCGGCCAGCACAGAUGACAUCACCCGGCAGCGCCGCGGUAGUUGUCGAUCUGGGGCGGGACUCGAGGCUAUUUAAAGCCCUUAAGCCCUACACACUAUCCGCAACCUCUUGUGAGGCAUACGAACCAACGGCACGUGUGGCGAGUGUUACAUACUGGUAAGCCUAAUUCUCUAUCUCUAAACAUGCCCUCCAUACUUUUGUGUGGCCGAUUCAUUAGGCUCACAGUCUCCUUUCCUCUAUAUUUUGUUUCAGUGACUGGUCUAUCGUGGCAACCCCUGCCCCUGUCUCCUUGAAUUGCUCUAAAGAUUGACACUGGGUUUUUUUCAAACACCCUAAACUUAUACUCGCUGAAUGCAGUCUUGUUAUGAGCCAUUGCAAACUCUAUAUAUAAAUGGUUCCAAAUAUUGGCACAUUGACUCCACUAAGUCCUUCGAGGAAGCGCUCAGAUACAGCGCGAAACAUGUCAGGACUCCGAUCAACCCAGCGCAAGUGCUAAAAAUCUCCAGUUGCUGAUGAUUUUCUUUAGAAGCUUUUGUAUUUAUUUAUGGUUCCAACUAUUAGUCCACUUUUGGACAUCUAGUCUAGUAUUAUAUCAAUUGGUGCUAGUACUGUACAACCAGAUUUAAUCUUCUAAGCUACAUCAAUUACUGUGAACGCUGUACUGAUCAAAUGCUAUGUGUAAUUUAUGUGUACUCUUUGGAGGAAAACUUUUAAAAUAUAUAUUUUUUUGUAAUAAAUAUUUUUAUAUAUAAAGUCAGUUUUCGAAAGACUCAUAUCUUUACUAACUUAUCAUGCCGACAAAGUCCAUGACUAGCCCCUAAGUCAUUCCCUUUUUCAAAAUUUGUUCAGGACGUGGCAUAUGCGAAAACAUCAUGCAUCCACAUGUGCACUACAUGUGAGGAUGUAUUAAUUCUUUAAAGCCUCAUAAUUGGUGCCA